UUUUCCUCUUAGGUCACACGUGUUUUUCUGAUGGGAUUUCUUUUUGCUUCAGCCGACAAUUGAAUUUCUGCCUUUCUCCACUGUGGCGUUGGUGGGAGUCUUCAGAUACAUUAGGUGGAUUAUUGGAGUAGAGAUUCUUGGGAGACAGAAGUUACAAAUUAAUUUUUGUGGAACUGAGGAUUUUAUUAUUAUUUUAUGGCAUUAAACUUUGUAUUGGAGAAUUAUUUUGAGGAUGUUUUGUAUUUGGUGAAUUAGAGCUCUGACUUUUGUAAUCAGUUUCAAGGUUGCUAGUUUCUUUUAUUUAAUAUUUUUAUGGAUUAUUCAGAUUAAAUAGACUUUUAUUGCCUAUGA